UCCUUCUCCGUCGAUUUUUUCCAACUGCUCCCCUCUUAUUCUCGCAAGUUUCAGUCCACCACCAUCAUCUCCACCACCAUCAACAUCCACAUCGGUGCCAGAUUCUCCACCAUCAUCAUCACGUCCAUCGUAUUUACCAUCAUCAGAAGAUUUAGGUUUUUUAUUCCUCUUUCAAUUUAAUUUCUCCUCAAAUUCCAUGAAUUCGAUCGAAAAUCUUUCGUGGCUCUUUCUCAUAUUUCGAUUGAUUUUUAAUGUCAAUUUUCAGUUUUUUUUCCUUCAGUUGUAGUUCAUCUCAGGGCAACUGGUGAUGCUCCAAUACUUAAACAAGCCAAGUUCAAGGAUUCUCUCUUUUCCUCGCAUGGAUGACAGAUUGCCUGCACCAUUAUACUAGUACAACCGUUACCACGGUAGAAGGGCCGACCGAAGAGCUUGACGAAAUGACACCACUACGUGACGAAAUGACACCCCUACGUGAAUGCAGAUUCAGAUUUGUAAAGAAAAAAAAAAUUACACGUUCAUAAUCACUAACAUUUCUAGAAGUUUCCUGCAACUCUCUCAAGCAAACAAUUCGCAAGAAUUACACACUUUAGUAUUUGUUUCAUAUUAUUGAUCAAUUCUAUGCCCCUCAUUCGUUUUGUGAUA